UGUGGCCUGGAGUCCUGAACGGUUUCCUCCUGGAGAGCACAGAGGCUGUCCGGCCGUCCGCUGAAGGGCGGAACACCAGGAGCACACGUCUCGGGCACCGGCAAUAAAAGCAGUGUCAACGGGGCGCGACGGUAACAGAGUAGCCCUUGCCUUAAUGCUCUGGGCCCACCGCCCAGCUUCCGCGGCCAUCGGCCUGUUCCCCUAGUCUUCGAUUGGACUUCUGUACCGUGCUCUGGACUCAGCUCCGAAGAGGGAAAGCUGGCUCUGCCCUAGAAUAUGCACAUGAUGGUAGGACCUCAAGCAGCCACCCUGGACCAUGAAGCAAUCUUGAAGAUAGAAGCCAACACUGAGAUGGUGCAAUGAGGUAGUGAAGCCUGGUCCUUAUUCACUGCACAGUGACUGCAUCCAAACUUCAUGUAUGUGAAACAGAUGAAAGCCACUAUCUUGUUUAAGACACUGAUUUAAAUUGUCUUCAUAUGCAACAGAAACUGACCUAUCUGAUAAAAUAUAAUUUUAUUAAUAAAAUUUUUUAUUUUAAAA